rnacentral:lncRNA from 1 species
GGAACCGGGGACUGGAGGUUUGGGGGUGGGUUGGGGCUGAGCAACCGGGGGGGUUUGGGGGUGGGUUGGGGCUGAGGAACCGGGGACUGGGGGAUUUGGGGGGUGGGUUGGGGCUGAGGAACCGGGAGACUGGGGGUUUGGGGGUAGGUUGGGGCUGAGGAACCGGGAGACUGGGAGGUUUGGGGGUUUGGGUUGGGUUGGGGCUGAGGAACCGAGGGACUGGGGGGGUUUGGGGGGUGGGUUAGGGAUGAGGAACAGAGGCUCAGGUGGAGGGGGUACUGUCUAUCAGGGCAGGUAGAGCUGGACAGGUCAUGGACAGGUCACCCCGGACAGGUGGAAGUCUGGCAAAAUCCCACUAUCAGUAUAGAGAGGAAGUCUGGUCGUGCACCUGGUAACCCGACUAGAUGGUGGAAGUCUGGACCGUGGAUGAGAUAGGACUCUGGAGUGGUAGGAGAAGGGAUGGGAUGGGCUUCUGGAGUGGUAGGAGAAGGGAUGGGAUGGGCUUCUGGAGUGGUGGGAGAAGGGAUGGACCUCUGGGGUGGUAAGAGAAGGGAUGGGAUGGACCUCUGGAGUGGUAGGAGAAGGGAUGGGAUGGGCCUCUGGGGUGGUAGGAGAAGGGAUGGACCUCUGGAGUGGUAGGAGAAGGGAUGGGAUGGACCUCUGGAGUGGUAGGAGAAGGGAUGGACCUCUGGAGUGGUAGGAGAAGGGAUGGACCUCUGGAGUGGUAGGAGAAGGGAUGGGCCUCUGGAGUGGUAGGAGAAGGGAUGGGACUCUGGAGUGGUAGGAGAAGGGAUGGGCCUCUGGAGUGGUAGGAGAAGGGAUGGGACUCUGGAGUGGUAGGAGAAGGGAUGGGCCUCUGGAGUGGUAGGAGAAGGGAUGGACCUCUGGAGUGGUAGGAGAAGGGAUGGGCCUCUGGAGUGGUGGGAGAAGGGAUGGGCCUCUGGAGUGGUAGGAGAAGGCGUCACUCGAUGACGAUCCAGAAGAAGGUACAACACUUUAUCUUUCUCCUCCCACAGAAUGAUGCAUUCUUAAUGAUGUUGAGAGGUUUCUGGUUGGACUCUGAAACAAAGGAGAAGAAACAUUACUGGUAAAAAAAACAUUAAAAUUUAAACA